UACAGAGGGUGCAAGCGUUAAUCGGAAUUACUGGGCGUAAAGCGCGCGUAGGUGGUUUUGUUAAGUUGGAUGUGAAAUCCCCGGGCUCAACCUGGGAACUGCAUCCAAAACUGGCAAGCUAGAGUAGGGCAGAGGGUGGUGGAAUUUCCUGUGUAGCGGUGAAAUGCGUAGAUAUAGGAAGGAACACCAGUGGCGAAGGCGACCACCUGGGCUCAUACUGACGCUGAGGAGCGAAAGCGUGGGGAGCGAACAGG
rnacentral:rRNA from 1 species